rnacentral:rRNA from 1 species
UACGUAGGUGGCAAGCGUUGUCCGGAUUUACUGGGCGUAAAGAGCGCGCAGGCGGUCGUUCAAGUCGCGUGUGAAAGCCCCCGGCUCAACUGGGGAGGGUCACGCGAUACUGAUCGACUCGAAGGCAGGAGAGGGUAGUGGAAUUCCCGGUGUAGUGGUGAAAUGCGUGGAUAUCGGGAGGAACACCAGUGGCGAAGGCGACUACCUGGCCUGUUUCUUGACGCUGAGGCGCGAAAGCUAGGGGAGCAAACGGG